AGGACGAACGCUGGCGGCGUGCUUAACACAUGCAAGUCGAGCGGAAAGGCCCUUCGGGGUACUCGAGCGGCGAACGGGUGAGUAACACGUGAGUAAUCUGCCCCUAGCUCUGGGAUAGCUCCGGGAAACCGGGAUUAAUACCGGAUACGACCACCUUAGACAUCUUUUGUGGUGGAAAGAAUUUCGGCUAGGGAUGAGCUCGCGGCCUAUCAGCUUGUUGGUGGGGUAAUGGCCUACCAAGGCGACGACGGGUAGCCGGCCUGAGAGGGCGACCGGCCACACUGGGACUGAGACACGGCCCAGACUCCUACGGGAGGCAGCAGUGGGGAAUAUUGCGCAAUGGGCGAAAGCCUGACGCAGCGACGCCGCGUGGGGGAUGAAGGCCUUCGGGUUGUAAACCCCUUUCAGCAGGGACGAAGCGAAAGUGACGGUACCUGCAGAAGAAGCGCAGGCUAACUACGCGCCAGCAGCCGC
rnacentral:rRNA from 1 species